rnacentral:rRNA from 1 species
UAGGGUGCAAGCGUUGUCCGGAAUUAUUGGGCGUAAAGAGCUCGUAGGCGGUCUGUCGCGUCGGCUGUGAAAUCCCGAGGCUCAACCUCGGGUCUGCAGUCGAUACGGGCAAACUGGAGUGUUGCAGGGGAGACUGGAAUUCCUGGUGUAGCGGUGAAAUGCGCAGAUAUCAGGAGGAACACCGGUGGCGAAGGCGGGUCUCUGGGCAACAACUGACGCUGAGGAGCGAAAGCGUGGGGAGCGAACAGG